rnacentral:rRNA from 1 species
UACAGAGGGGGCAAGCGUUGUUCGGAAUUACUGGGCGUAAAGGGCGCGUAGGCGGCCUGCUAAGUCGAACGUGAAAUCCCCGGGCUCAACCCGGGAACUGCGUCCGAUACUGGCAGGCUUGAAUCCGGGAGAGGGAUGCGGAAUUCCAGGUGUAGCGGUGAAAUGCGUAGAGAUCGGGAAGAACGCCGGCGGCGAAAGCGACUCUCUGGUCGGAAUCUGACGCUGAGGUGCGAAAGCUAGGGGAGCAAACGGG